rnacentral:lncRNA from 10 species
CUAUAGAGUGGCUGACCAGGAGGCGGGAGUGGAGGCCCACACCUGUAAUCCCAGAACUUUGGGAGGCCGAGACGAGUGGAUCACUUGAAGUCAGGAAUUCAACUGACCAGCCUGGCCAACAUGGCUGCUGGUUCUGGGAAUGUCUUGGUGAUCUUUGGUUGUCUGGUCAUAUCUUAAAAAGAAGGUCUAUGUGACUCGGUGGCUUCUCCCCAGUGAGAAUUCUGACUGGGUGCUCUGGGUAUGGGGUCGAGGAGGAUGAGGUCACUUGAUUGCCCAGAAUGAGGACUUUAGUGUACCAAGGUGAUGAAUAAAAGCCUUUGAUUCUCC